GACGAACGCUGGCGGCGUGCCUAAUACAUGCAAGUUGAGCGAUGAAGCUUGGUGCUUGCACCAAUUUGAAGAGCAGCGAACGGGUGAGUAACGCGUGGGGAAUCUGCCUUUGAGCGGGGGACAACAUUUGGAAACGAAUGCUAAUACCGCAUAACAACUUUAAACAUAAGUUUUAAGUUUGAAAGAUGCAAUUGCAUCACUCAAAGAUGAUCCCGCGUUGUAUUAGCUAGUUGGUGAGGUAAAGGCUCACCAAGGCGAUGAUACAUAGCCGACCUGAGAGGGUGGUCGGCCACAUUGGGACUGAGACACGGCCCAAACUCCUACGGGAGGCAGCAGUAGGGAAUCUUCGGCAAUGGACGAAAGUCUGACCGAGCAACGCCGCGGGAGUGAAGAAGGUUUUCGGAUCGUAAAACUCUGUUGGUAGGGAAGAACGUUGGUGAGAGUGGAAAGCUCAUCAAGUGACGGUAACUACCCAGAAAGGGACGGCUAACUACGUG
rnacentral:rRNA from 1 species